GAUGAACGCUGGCGGCGUGCUUAACACAUGCAAGUCGAACGGAAAUAUGAUGAAACCUAGUGAUUCGUAUUUUAGUGGCGGACGGGUGAGUAACGCGUGGAUAACCUGCCUUACACUGGGGGAUAACACUUAGAAAUAGGUGCUAAUACCGCAUAAGCGCACAGGACCGCAUGGUCUGGUGUGAAAAACUCCGGUGGUGUAGGAUGGAUCCGCGUCUGAUUAGCUAGUUGGUGAGGUAAUGGCUCACCAAGGCGACGAUCAGUAGCCGGCCUGAGAGGGUGAACGGCCACAUUGGGACUGAGACACGGCCCAAACUCCUACGGGAGGCAGCAGUGGGGAAUAUUGCACAAUGGGCGAAAGCCUGAUGCAGCGACGCCGCGUGAGUGAAGAAGUAUUUCGGUACGUAAAGCUCUAUCAGCAAGGAAGAAGAUGACGGUACUUGACUAAGAAGCCCCGGCUAACUACGUGCCAGCCGCCGCCGUAAUAC
rnacentral:rRNA from 1 species